rnacentral:lncRNA from 1 species
UUAAGCCAAACCUAACUUCAAAUAUAGAUCUUCCUGAGCGUUGACUUUUGUUCUUGAAGAAAAAAAGUAAAAUUAAUAGGAUCCACACAAUAAGAAGAUAAAUCAACAAGAUAUUCUUUUGGUAGGGAGAUAGGAUAUUACUCAACUGAAUACAUACUUAUUAGUCCAAAACUCACAUGUUAAAUUGACUUCUUUGAGAAUCAAAAUCACAAUAAUUCAUGAAAGAAUAAGAACAAUGAAAUCAAAAGAAAAACAGAAAGUGAGCAAACAGUAGUAUCAAAUUCCUAUUCAGCAAUAUUCAUAUUUCAGGAAGUGAUCAAAUAGUAGUGUCAAAUUCCUUUUUGCCAAUAUUCUUGUUAACGUCUUCAAAAAAAGCUCAAACAAGAGAACCAACUUGAGUUAAUAAUCAUUAUCUCUAAAACUCAAUAAGAAAGCUUCUAUAAAUUGCAAAUUAUAUACUAUUAUGCAGUAUACACUUCCUGUAUCAAUGGUUGGUUAUACACCCAAGUUUUCAUUACAAUGGAGAAAGACUAUUAACAAGAAUAGGAAAGAACAUCAUGGAGGAGGUUACGGCAAUGCGAGAAAAACUGGAGUCAUCCAUACAUCACUGUCAAUACAAGAAGGAUGAGAGUCCAAACUUAAAACAUGGACAUCGAGACUGCGCAGUCCUCGUUGGUGUUUAUGUCCAGAUACAGAGGUCAUCAUGGGUACAGUAAAACAAAUAGGCAAUUACAUGUACAUGACGGGUAACCAAAAGUUCUGGAACAGAACAUUUUUUUGGAAUACCAAAACUUUAAGAUGGGAAUUUGGCAAGGUACUAUAGUUUGAACACAACUGAUAGAAGUAGUGAAUGCUAUUAGCAAGGAAAUCCAAAUACAUCCAACUACUUCAACAUAAUAAGAAUUUGAUUCAUACAAUGGUUUGUCAACUUAAAGGGAAUCCAAUCAGCUACAAGAGCAAACAACAGGCCAGGACACUGAAUUUUGUGUGCGACGCCAACUGUUUUUACUCUAUUUUUGGACAACAGAGGCUCUAUCACCAAGCUAAUUGAGUAUAUUCAGGAAGAUGGAAUCUCAACAAAAAUAACAAAAGCAUGGAACCAACUCAGAUACAUGACAAUCACUACAUAAAUACAUUCGAUGUAUACUACUUGGAUAGAUCAAAUUGUACGACUAAGUUUGAGUAUCACUAACUCAAAUUUGGUUAUAGGAAAUAUGUAUUACUCUUACCCAAUGGGAUCAAAAGACUACAUACAAUUUGUAAUUUGUUUUGGUUUUUAAAAUAUACAAAUAACAACCCUAGGCACUUUGCCUAGUGGAAUUUUAAAAAAAAUUAGAGACUUUUUCAUGAGAUGGGUUUUAUCUAAAUUAAUUUUGUAGAGGCUUGUUUCAGUUCUUUCUUUCUUGGAAUUAGCAAAGUAAAGAAAACAGAGAUUGGUAUAAUAUAACUAUUUCUAAAAGCUUGAGAACUUACAAUUCUAAAAGCAAUAGAAGAGCAGCAACCAAGGAUGAAGGAAACGUAGAAAAAGAAGCAGCAAUUGACGGUAUUGGAGCAGCGGUGGUGUGGAAACUGAUUUGCUACUUAUUCCUGUAGGGUUUUCCAAGUACUAUUUUUGCUAUGUAUUCCUAUAAUUUUCCAAGUACUAUUCGAUCUUGGACUUAUGAGAAUUGGCGGAAUAUGAAGUAUAAUUUUGCUGGGAAAUUUUUUGGAAUUUUUUUUAUAAGGAAGUUUUAGGGUACGCUUGCA